CUGUUCACCUAUUUGUAUUUUUUUUUCUCUCUCUCUAGAUAUCUGCCUUAUUCCCCUCAUCUUGCUGUGUGUAGGAAUAGGUUUGGUGUCCCUGGGUAUAAUCAUCCUAAUCGGAUUUCUCAUUAAACUGUGCUGCUGAUAUUUAAAUAAAAAACAAGGAUGUUAUAUUGAAGUGGUUGGAUGACUCCUCAGUUUUGUUCACCGUUAUGCCGACAAGCCAUGAGACGUAUACCUUUCUCAAAGGGUAAGGAAUGUGGUUCCGAUUGAAGCAGCCGUUGGUAAUGGGACGGCCGGGUGGGAGGGGAGGAAGAGAAACGUUGCAUAACGACACCAAACAACGGCUACCAAAGAACUGGCGUCAUAUGAGACCAUUUUGGUUAUAGCGUCGUGCACUUUUGUGGCUCAUUUUUGAUGAUUUGUAGUGAUUGUGAAAGAACGAAUGAAUAUAUUUUUUUAAUAAAAUAGUACGGAGUAUAUAAGCAACCAGUUUUCUAUUUUAAUAAAAAUGAACAUUUACCUUCUCGUAA